GACGAACGCUGGCGGCGUGCUUAACACAUGCAAGUCGAACGGAAAGGCCCUGCUUUUGUGGGGUGCUCGAGUGGCGAACGGGUGAGUAACACGGGAGUAACCUGCCCUUGACUUUGGGAUAACUUCAGGAAACUGGGGCUAAUACCGGAUAGGAGCGCCUGCUGCAUGGUGGGGGUUGGAAAGUUUCGGCGGUUGGGGAUGGACUCGCGGCUUAUCAGCUUGUUGGUGGGGUAGUGGCUUACCAAGGCUUUGACGGGUAGCCGUCCUGAGAGGGUGACCGGCCACAUUGGGACUGAGAUACGGCACAGACUCCUACGGGAGGCAGCAGUGGGGAAUAUUGCACAAUGGGCGGAAGCCUGAUGCAGCAACGCCGCGUGCGGGAUGACGGCCUUCGGGUUGUAAACCGCUUUCGCCUGUGACGAAGCGUGAGUGACGGUAAUGGGUAAAGAAGCACCGGCUAACUACGUG
rnacentral:rRNA from 1 species